rnacentral:rRNA from 1 species
AACGAACGCUGGCGGCAGGCCUAAAACAUGCAAGUCGAACGCUCUAGCAAUAGAGAGUGGCGCACGGGUGCGUAACAUGUGGGAAUAUGCCUUUUGGUACGGAACAACUUUUGGAAACGAAAGCUAAUACCGUAUGGUCCCUUCGGGGUAAAGAUUUAUCGCCAAAAGAGUAGCCCGCACUGGAUUAGCUAGUUGGUGAGGUAAUGGCUCACCAAGGCGACGAUCCAUAGCUGGUCUGAGAGGACGAUCAGCCACACUGGGACUGAGACACGGCCCA